UUAGAGAAACCCGAAUUUCAUUGCCCACCAGCAGCAGCAGUUCUAAUACCCGAGUAUUGGGGCUGGGAGGCGACGGGGGCUCCGCUCCGGUUCCCAGUGCUGCUGUUUGACAGUAACUUGCAGAAGUUUGGGUACAAGGCUGGCCACACUCAUCCAGACAACUGCUGGGGUGGGGAGAGUAUUACCUAUCCCACCCUUGUGCUGAGUCCCCAUGGGCAACAGCCCCAGUCGUGGGCACGGGGUAAUUAUCCCAUGGUCGCCGAGGGCAGGGCGGGCACAGCUCGUCCACAGCUUCUUAUAGGUUGGGCCCCGCCCCCGGCAGGGCUGUAAACCUGGGCUGGAGCCAUUUCCAUGAAGGACAGAGUGUGGCUAAUGGAAACCCUCCCCCACAGAAGAGCGAGAGAGCGCACAGUCCCCUCUCCCGGGGCAGAGACUCUCCACACCCAUGUCUCGUCGCCUCCUCCACAAAGGACUCCCACCCACGCUGGGGGAGGGAGCCAUGUCAGCAGCCGCCAUGGCUCCUGGAGGAGCUGCUGCUGGUGGUGGUGGUGGUGGUAGUGGUGGUAACGUCCUCCAUUUUGUCGGAAGCUGCUGCGGGGAACUUGGGACCAAUUCAAACCAAGCUGAGGCUCAGAAAGGGGCCAGUUUGAAGCGCCUCUGCCUUGCAGUGACACAGGCAGGGCGCCCCAGGCAAUGCCCUGGGGGUGGUCCGCGGGGCUCAGAGCGGCAAAGGCGGCAAGACUCCGAGAGCCAGGCUCUCCUCGCUCCCUCUGCCAAAAUGGAGGCUGCGCACUUCCUUUGCGCGGCUGCUUCCCCCUCUCUAGCCAUGGGACUCACGCCCGCUUCUUCGAGGACCUGGAGAUCUCAGCCUCUCCCACUGCUAGUUAAUCCAGCUCUUCCUCCUGAACGGCUCCCCCCUGCCCAGAAAGGAAGCAAAUACCAGCCCUCUCCACCCUGCGUCAAUUCAUGUCAACCACGCUGUGCAAAACGCCCCCGGAGAGAGCCUCAUGCCUGUGUAAGGCGCACGGGUCAGUCGAGCUGCUUGCUCCACUUCCAUCCCACCUCGGCAACCCUCUCACAGUGCAACGACAAAUGCCAGGGGGUCGGGGCGGGUAAUGUGCGGAGGAGCAGUGCCUCUGAGAAGGAGCAGAAGUGGCUGAAGGGCUGGGCUCUUCUCCUGCGUGCCCUUGCCCCACCCUGAGACUCAGACUGAAGUCAACAGCCCAAGCCAAACACUUUUGUGACACCAUUACUACAUGGUGGUGGUAGGAAAGGAUGAUUAGUGCACUUCACCCUAGCUGUGGAUGCCCUGGAAAGACGAGAACACCUGUUGCUAUGGGGGAACAUAUAUGUGUCCCAUGGUAAACGGCACCUACGAUACAAUGUCAUACUUGCCAUUUUUGUGUCUGGCGCAAGAAAGAAAUGAAGUGAUAAUGAAAAAGGUCUAACUCAAUGACUAUGAAAGGAUGACAUUUUAAAUUAUGUUAAUCACCAUCCACAGUGAGGGAUUCUUUUGAGUUUAUUUUGUAAAUAGUUUGAACCAAAACAGAAGAAUGUUCAGCUAAUUAAAUACAUAAAAACCAGAGAAAUUUUUAAGAUUAAACAAAAAAUAAAAUAAAAUGAUAUAUUCUACCAUUUCUA